CCAGAUGGUCAACCCAUUCUCACUCCAAAGGCGUCAAAAACCGAAGCAUGGUCAAGCGCCCCUAGCGUCACUUUUAUGACGCCAAAUGUGCCUCUCGGCGUCGAAUAUCGAAGCACUACGACCUUCAUUGCUUUCAAUGGGAAACUUUUGGCGUCAGAAUUCGACACGAGGACAUGAGAUGUUUAUCGCUAUGAAAUCACGUUCAAGAAGUCUCAUUCAGCACACAUCGCGAUACUUGCUAUCAGUUCCACAGUUUGGCUGAAAAGACGUAAAGGCAGUCAGCCCAGUGGUGUUUCUGGAGAGGGAUUCCUUCAGAAAUGGAGAAGACAGAAAGCUGCGGAGGCAGAUAUAUGCAGCAUGUUCGAGUGAGCAUGAUGACCACAAGUGUGUGUCGAACUUUUCAUGACCUGAUGACUGUGUUUCCCAAUCCUGAUCCUGGAGAACCCCAGCACUGCACGGUUUUGGUGUCUCUCUUAUCUGCCUUGGAGUCUUCACUGAUGAGCUGAUGAGUUGAAUCAGGUGUGUUUGAUCAGGGAGACAUCUCAAAUGUGCAGUGUUGGGCUUCUCCAGGACCAGGAUUGGGAGCCACUGCCUUAUGGGACACUUAUGUGUUUACAGAGAUUUUUAAUAUCUAAUUAUCAAUAUUUCACAUACUGUACAUUGGACAGCUUCCCAUGACCUCUUGUGAGAUCUCGGCAAAAAGUCUGACGAUUUAUUCCAAAACAUGAUGCAUGAUGGGAUACACUAAGCUUUGUAUAGUGCUCCGGAGCAGUAUUGGAGAGGUUUAGUGUGUGUUAAGGACGCUGUGCUUUGGCAUUAUUAAGACCGGGGACAGUCUCGUUCACACACUGUCACGUACACACACUCUCAAGUGGCCAAGACUGCAAGUUUGGGUAUCUGGACAGGGUCAAAAACUUAAAAAUGAUCCCUAAACACAUCACAGUCUUAAUAAUCCAGUUUAACACUUGUAUGAUAUUGUACAAGCCCCAGGACGGUCUCAUCUGACACUAUCAAAAGAAUUCAUAUGACUAUAGCUUGCUAUUAAUUACUUGCUUUCAAUAAUGGAUGCAUUUAACAUUUAAUUAUACAGCAUCUUUACAGAGGUGUAAUGUACAAGUUGCACGUAAUUAAUAAUAUUUCCUUCUUUCUGUCUUACAGGAUUUUUUGCAGAUAAUCCUAAUGCUGUUCUUCUUUUUCAGGUCUAAAAUAUCAAGCUCAACAGCUCACUCAAGAGCCAACCCUCACAAACCUUCCUAAAAACUAAAA